UACGUAGGGACCGAGCGUUGUCCGGAAUCAUUGGGCGUAAAGAGCGUGUAGGCGGCCUUUUAAGUCCUGCGUGAAAUCCUGCGGCUCAACCGCAGACGGUCGUGGGAAACUGGAAGGCUAGAGUGCGGGAGAGGAGAGUGGAAUUCCCGGUGUAGCGGUGAAAUGCGUAGAUAUCAGGAGGAACACCGGUGGCGAAGGCGGCUUUCUGGACGACAACUGACGCUGAGACGCGAAAGCGUGGGGAGCAAACAGG
rnacentral:rRNA from 1 species